AGUCUCGCGCCUGCAGCCCGUGCCGCCCCAGCCGCUGCCGCCUGCACCGGACCCGGAGCCGCCAUGCCCAAGUGUCCCAAGUGCAACAAGGAGGUGUACUUCGGUGAGCGCGCCCACACCGGCCCCGCGAGGAGGCGCCGCCGACGGGGCGACGAGGCUGGGGACCGCUCAGGAGGACCGGGGGCGCUGGGUCCCUGGGGCGGCGCCCCAGCCUGAAGACGCCUCAGCCUGGCCCGCCGCCCGCCCCGGGAUGAGGGUGGAGGCCCCUGCGUCCGAGGGCCCUGGCGAUCUCUGCCUGCUAAUGGUCUUGCUGUGCUCGGCGGGCUACCUCUGGCUCUGAGCCUCCCCGUCUCUGGGUCCUACGGUCUCUGCCGUCUCCUCUCGGGCGCGCCCUGGGUGGGGGACCCGCAGGGCUGGAAGGAACGCGGGGCUGGGGCCGCGCCUCCCAGCGCUAAGUAGAAACAGACGCGGAAACCGACGCCCGGGGCGCGAUCCCGGGCGCCCGCCUUCCUGCCCCGCGCGCGCGCGCCCCGAGGGGAGGGAGGAAGUGGGAAGUCACCCCUGUCCCCGCCGAGAAGGGCUGUCGCAGGCUCCACCCUUGCCACCGCAGAGGCCCGGGGCUGAAAGCAGGCAGCCAGGCCCAGGCCCUGCUGACCUAAGCCGCGACCCCUGACCCUCGGCCUCGCCCUCUAGCCCCACCCAGCCCUCAGGAGCAAGAUUCCCGGCCGCACCCGAAAGUGCCCCGGGGACCAGCGACCCUGCGCUUUGUUUAGUUGUAUUGGCUCUGGGGAUUGGAGAUGUCCCCCUCAUGGGGGGUGCUGAGACCUUAGGGUGGGCUGCCAGGCUGGGCGGAUGCGGCCUAAGUGCACAAGGCCUUGGGCAGAGCUGGCUGCAAGAGGUGGGUACGCCAGUGGUGGGCAGGCGCCGAGUCCUGCAGCGUCUCACCGGGGCCUGUCUGUGCCUCUGCAGCCGAGAGGGUGACCUCUCUGGGCAAGGACUGGCAUCGGCCCUGCCUGAAGUGCGAGAAAUGUGGGAAGACGCUGACCUCUGGGGGCCACGCUGAGGUAGGUGGGACCCACCCUGGUGGCAGGGGCCAGGGGUGACGGCACCCCCUCACGGCCCUUCUCUUUGCAGCACGAAGGCAAACCCUACUGCAACCACCCCUGCUACGCAGCCAUGUUUGGGCCUAAAGGUAUGCUCCCGUCGUCCCCACCCCACCCCACAGCCUCCUCCACCCCAGCCUGUUGACUUUUUCCACCUUCUCUGCAGGCUUUGGGCGGGGUGGAGCCGAGAGCCACACUUUCAAGUAAACCAGGUGGUGGAGACCCCAUCCUUGGCUGCUUGCAGGGCCACUGUCCAGGCAAAUGCCAGGCCUUGCCCCCAGAUGCCCAGGGCUCCCUUGUUGCCCCUAAUGCUCUCAGUAAACCUGAACACUUGG
rnacentral:sRNA from 1 species